GACGAACGCUGGCGGCGUGCUUAACACAUGCAAGUCGAACGUGAUUUUUGUGGAAAUUCUUUCGGGAAUGGAAAUGAAAUGAAAGUGGCGAACGGGUGAGUAACACGUGAGCAACCUACCUUACACAGGGGGAUAGCCGUUGGAAACGACGAUUAAUACCGCAUGAGACCACAGAAUCGCAUGAUAUAGGGGUCAAAGAUUUAUCGGUGUAAGAAGGGCUCGCGUCUGAUUAGCUAGUUGGAAGGGUAAAGGCCUACCAAGGCGACGAUCAGUAGCCGGUCUGAGAGGAUGAGCGGCCACAUUGGAACUGAGACACGGUCCAAACUCCUACGGGAGGCAGCAGUGGGGAAUAUUGCACAAUGGGGGGAACCCUGAUGCAGCGACGCCGCGUGAGCGAAGAAGGUUUUCGAAUCGUAAAGCUCUGUCCUAUGAGAAGAUAAUGACGGUAUCAUAGGAGGAAGCCCCGGCUAAAUACGUGCCAGCAGCCGCGGUAAUACGUAUGGGGCGAGCGUUGUCCGGAAUUAUUGGGCGUAAAGGGUACGUAGGCGGCCUUUUAAGUCAGGUGUGAAAGCGUGAGGCUUAACCUCAUUAAGCACUUGAAACUGGAAGGCUUGAGUGAAGGAGAGGAAAGUGGAAUUCCUAGUGUAGCGGUGAAAUGCGUAGAUAUUAGGAGGAAUACCGGUGGCGAAGGCGACUUUCUGGACUUUUACUGACGCUCAGGUACGAAAGCGUGGGGAGCAAACAGG
rnacentral:rRNA from 1 species